rnacentral:rRNA from 1 species
CCUACGGGAGGCAGCAGUGAGGAAUAUUGGGCAAUGGAGGCAACUCUGACCCAGCCAUGCCGCGUGCAGGAAGACGGCCCUAUGGGUUGUAAACUGCUUUUAUACAGGAAGAAACCUUUUCACGUGUGAAGAGCUGACGGUACUGUACGAAUAAGGACCGGCUAACUCCGUGCCAGCAGCCGCGGUAAUACGGAGGGUCCAAGCGUUAUCCGGAAUCAUUGGGUUUAAAGGGUCCGUAGGCGGGCAAUUAAGUCAGAGGUGAAAUCCCACAGCUCAACUGUGGAACUGCCUUUGAUACUGGUUGUCUUGAGUUAUAGUGAGGUAGAUGGAAUGUGUAGUGUAGCGGUGAAAUGCAUAGAUAUUACACAGAACACCGAUUGCGAAGGCAGUCUACUAACUAUAUACUGACGCUAAUGGACGAAAGCGUGGGGAGCGAACAGGAUUAGAUACCCUGGUAG